rnacentral:lncRNA from 1 species
GCCUCGUGUGUCUCGCUGCCUGUUCUUAGGCGUACGUCUCAUCACAUGCAACAGAAAAAAGUAUAACAAAACUUCUUCAACGCUGGUGGUUACCUUGUUGCAGCCAAAUGGUGAAAGGUGUGACAAAGACAGAUUGAGCCUUUGUAUGCAGUAUGCGGUUGCAGUGUAAUCCAGAAGUUGCUGUGCUGUUGUAGCUGAGCUGUU